UGGGUUUAGAACGUCGUGAGACAGUUCGGUCCCUAUCUGCCGUGGGCGCUGGAGAACUGAGGGGGGCUGCUCCUAGUACGAGAGGACCGGAGUGGACGCAUCACUGGUAUUCGGGUUGUCAUGCCAAUGGCACUGCCCGGUAGCUAAAUGCGGAAGAGAUAAGUGCUGAAAGCAUCUAAGCACGAAACUUGCCCCGAGAUGAGUUCUCCCUGAGACUUUAGGUCUCCUGAAGGAACGUUGAAGACGACGACGUUGAUAGGCCGGGUGUGUAAGCGCAGCGAUGCGUUGAGCUAACCGGUACUAAUGAACCGUGAGGCUUAACCUUACAACGCCGAAG
rnacentral:rRNA from 1 species